CCUACGGGAGGCAGCAGUCGAGAAUCAUUCACAAUGGGGGAAACCCUGAUGGUGCGACGCCGCGUGGGGGAAUGAAGGUCUUCGGAUUGUAAACCCCUGUCAUGUGGGAGCAAAUUAAAAAGAUAGUACCACAAGAGGAAGAGACGGCUAACUCUGUGCCAGCAGCCGCGGUAAUACAGAGGUCCCAAGCGUUGUUCGGAAUCACUGGGCGUAAAGCGUGCGUAGGCUGUUUCGUAAGUCGUGUGUGAAAGGCGCGGGCUCAACCCGCGGACGGCACAUGAUACUGCGAGACUAGAGUAAGGGAGGGGGAACCGGAAUUCUCGGUGUAGCAGUGAAAUGCGUAGAUAUCGAGAGGAACACUCGUGGCGAAGGCGGGUUCCUGGACAUUAACUGACGCUGAGGCACGAAGGCCAGGGGAGCGAAAGGGAUUAGAUACCCCUGUAGUC
rnacentral:rRNA from 1 species